ensembl:lncRNA
GGAUUCUAUCAGUUUGCUAAAAGAUUUGAUCUUUAAGCUUUAGUUUUCUUUUUUCUUGUAUAAGAAGGGUACAUGUUCCUGCAAGGAAGUCAAAACAUCUUUUUAAACAGAAAAUAUUUAUCGAUAGGCUAUGAAAAGCAGCACCAAAUGAGGCAGACAUUUAGAUUGGGUGUUCCAGUUGUGAGUCAGCCUUAGGGCCAUGGUGAGUGGCUGGGUUCUGUUCAUGUUAUGAAUGGGUUUUGCCUCCUGCUGCCUAGUUUUCUAACUUUGUCUUUAGUGCAAGUUUUCCCGGGUGGACCCACCCAUUCUCGACGAUGUGCGCUGCCUGGUCCUAUUGGAAAAUGCAGAGCUUGCCCAGGUGCAGGCUCAGACAGGUGUGGGGUGGCUCUGCUCCUCCACCCUGAACCAACAUGGCAUCUCCAUGGAGACCACCCCACACACUGAUCUCACGAGGAUAGCCACACCUGAGCACACAACCUUGGGUAGGGACCAGCUUUUCUUUUCUCUUUGGAAAAGAGAAACUGUGUGGGAGAAGGAUGAUUUUACGUGAGUGAAGCGUUCCCUGGCCCUCACACAGCCCAAGGACUAAUGUCUGCACGGGAGGGCGGUGCUCACGGCAGCCUUGGGGAUGAUGCGUGGACCUUCCAGUGGAGCUUGCCUUGGAAACAGGUCUUCCCAGCCUCAAGGAAAUGGCCAGCUGUCUGCCUCUGGCUGUCCUGUUCCCUCAUCACCAGCUUAGAAAGCCUCCAUGGUGUCAUACCGAAUAAAGUCCAGAUUCCUUCACAGGGGACUGCAGGUGGGGAAGACAACAGACUCGAUGGCUUAGCUAAAGCAAGCCUGGUACUUCCCUCAAGCAGCUUGUGGAUUGCAGAUUCCUGCCAGGCCCUCCAGAACCAGCCCAAGGUCUCUUCCCCCAGAUCUGUCUGCUCUCAGCAUUUUCUCCAAAAAGUAAACUGAAGACCAUAAUAGUUUCUUCUGAGAAGAUUGCCAGAUGUGGAUUAAUGGAGGACAUCGAUUUUGGUGCCCAACACAGAAUGAGUAAACACAGCACUUAUGAACUCUGCUCCUAUGCUGGCUCUUUCUCUUAUCGCCCCCUGCCUUGGUAGGUUUUUACUUUCACGGACACAAACCUGGUCUUCCCAGGUGGCUCAGUGGCAAAGAAUCUGCCUGCCAAUGCAGAAGAUAGAGGAGGUGCAGGAGACAGAGGAGACUCAGCAGAGGUGGGUUCAAUCCCUGGGUCAGGAAGAUCCCCUGGAAUAGGAAAUGGCAACCUGCUCCAGUAUUCUUGCCUGGAAAAUUCCAUAGACAGAGGAGCCUGGUGGGCUGCAGUCCAUGGGGUCACAAAGAGUCAGACACGACUGAGCACACUCGCAAAACAAACCUGAGGUGCACAAACCUGCAUCCUGAGGAUUGUACCUGCUUCUUUCUUGGCAUCGUUCCCACAUCCAUCCCUACCGCUCGACCUCCAAACUUUUCUGGAAUCUGUGCUCUCCCCUCCACCCAAGUUGCCUCUGCUCUAGUUUGGUUUAAUGUCACCCCUGGCCUGCACAAUUGUGAUCCCUAAUCAGGUUCUGCUGCUGAAGGCACCUCACAUGUGAUUCCAGCAAACUGUGCCUUUGAAAUGCAGACUGCAUUACUUGGCAGGGACUUAACAGCUCCUUGACUUAGCCUGGCAGUUGAGUAAGUGGUUACCCACGCCCCGGCACCCCCUUCCACCUCGCCCCUGGCCCCACCAUGGGUGGUUGAAGGCAUGAGAUAUGAGUCUAGGGUGGAGUGUUAGGAAGUGAAGCUGGAAUGUGCUUUUUCUCUCAGAAGUCUGUGUUAGGACCUUGCCCUCAGCAGCCAGUGGUUCCCGCAUCCCCAGGACAGCAGACACACUUUUCCCACUCCAUGCUUUUGCUCAAGCUAUGACUUCUGCCUGAAAGACCCCUCUCCUCAACUCCAACUUGCUUUUCCAUCCUGAGCCCACCUCUCCAGCCCCUCCCUUGGUCCCUCCCUCCCUAUUUAGUUAGUUAUCUCUCCCCAUGUUCUCAGAACACUCUCUGCAUUGCUCUAAGGUUACACUUACCUCGUUUAUUGUGUUUAUUCUAUUUCUCUGUUUACAUGUCACCUGGGUCAGUGCUUCUCAACUUUUUGUGCACAAGAAUCACACAGGAUCUUGUCCAAAUGCAGAUUGCAUUCAGUAGAUCUAGGAUGGAGUCCGAGUCUCUGUGUUUCUAACAAGCUCCCUGGUAUGCUGAUGAUGCUGGUCCCAGACCAUAUUUGGAAUGACAAUAACUGAGAGAGUGAGUCCUCAGAGGGCAGUGACUUGUUCUCAGUUCAUCUUGUUAUCUGUGGUAUGAAGCUGGCAAGUACAGAAACAAAUACAUGCUUGAUGAAAUGAGGAAGUGAGCGAGUGAAUGAAUGAAAGCAUCUCACACAGUUGUGAGUGUCAGGAAGUUUUCAGGAGGCGCUGAUGUCUGAAUUGGAUCCUUAGGGAGGGGUAGGUGGUAUCCAGGUAAAGAGGGCCAUGGUGGGUUGAGAUCUUCCAGGAUUGGGUCAGGGCCAGGGCACAGAGAUGUGAAAGGCAUGAGUGCCAGAUAGAGUGGGAAUGAAGACUUGAAGUUCAAGACGUUGGGAGGAGCCAGGUCACUAAUGGCCAGGGGAUACCAAGCUGGCAGGGAGGGAUGGCGGUCUUUAUAUUAUCCUGGAACCUCUGGGAGAUGGUGUGGUUGAAACUGUGGGGCACUCCUGCGGCAGGAUAGGAGUUGGUAACAGAGAGGAGCCCAGGUAGCUCAGUGGUAAAGAGGCCACCUGCCAGUGUAGGAGAUGCAGGAGACUCUGGUCUGAUCCCUGCGUUGGGAAGAUCCCCUGGAGAAGGGAAUGGCAACUCACUCCAGUAUUCUUGCCUGGGGAAUCCCAUGGAUGGAGGACGCAGAAGGAGAUGCAAGACCAAGCAGUCACUUAGAGGGCUCUCCAUUCACUGGCCAAGAGCUCAGGUUGUGGCAGUGAGGAUGAAGAUAAGGGCACAGAUUCAAGUGGAACUGAAGAGGAAGAACAGACAAGACUGGGCUACCGAUUGGAAAAGAGGGUGAAGGAAAGCCUCCCCCCUUUGCUGGGAGGAACCUGGGUGAACGCUGGUGCCAUUGACUGAGGCUGGAGUAAAGGAGGAGGAGGUGGUUUGGGGAGAAGGAUGAGGAGUUUAAUUUCACUGUUGGCUGGGUGUGAAGUACCCAGGGGCGUCCAGAGCAUAUGUGUCAGGAGCUCCUGAGAGCGACCAGGGCUGGAGAUGACAGGACGAGAGGCAUUGGCUGACAGAUGCUCACUGAAGUUUUGGGAGAGAAUGAGACUAUCGGGGGAAAUCUUCUGGUAAGAAGAGAAGAAGUUCGAGAGGGACCCUGGAGGAAAACCAUUCAUUUAAAGAGCAGGAAUUAAUGACAACCUGUUAGAGAUAAAAUGAGAACUGAAAACAUUUACAAUAGCAGCAAAAAAAAGGUUUAAAAAUCCUAGGAAUAAACGUAAGAAGAAAUGUGCA